rnacentral:rRNA from 1 species
ACGGGAGGCAGCAGUGGGGAAUAUUGGGCAAUGGGCGAAAGCCUGACCCAGCGACGCCGCGUGAAGGAAGAAGGUCCUCGGAUUGUAAACUCCUUUUAUAUGGGACGAAACAAAUGACGGUACCAUAUGAAUAAGCCACGGCUAACUACGUGCCAGCAGCCGCGGUAAUACGUAGGUGGCAAGCGUUAUCCGGAUUUACUGGGUGUAAAGGGCGUGUAGCCGGGUCGGCAAGUCAGAUGUGAAAUCCAUGGGCUUAACUCAUGAACUGCAUUUGAAACUGUUGAUCUUGAGUAUCGGAGAGGCAAUCGGAAUUCCUUGUGUAGCGGUGAAAUGCGUAGAUAUAAGGAGGAACACCAGUGGCGAAGGCGGAUUGCUGGACGACAACUGACGGUGAGGCGCGAAAGCGUGGGGAGCAAACAGGAUUAGAUACCCUGGUA